rnacentral:tRNA from 3 species
GGGCGCAUAGCUCAACUGGUUAGAGCAGGCGUCUUAUAAGCGCCAGGUUCAUGGUUCGAGUCCAUGUGCGCCCA